ensembl:miRNA Mir6399 microRNA 6399
GGUAGUUUAUCAGAUACCAUUGUUUGAUCCUUGAACCUUUUAGAGGUAAAGCUGUUGCAAUGAUGGUAUUCUGAGGCACUCUCU